CAUUUCCUACUUUCUCUUGACCUGUACUGACCCCUCAUGACCUGGGGACGGCCCUCCUGUCCGUCUCUCCAGCUAGACCAGAUGGUCCUCGGGCUUCCGAGUCGCGACUACUUCCUCAGGGCCAACUCUUCUCGUCGUGCCCUCGACGCCUACCUCAAAUUCAUGACGGACGUGGCGGAACUGCUGGGUGCUACGCGAGAAGCGGCGAACACAGAGCUGAAGGAGGUGCUGGCGCUGGAGACGCGUCUAGCCAAUGCGACAAUGCCCGAGGCUGACCGUCAUGACACGGGGAGCAACUACAUUAAACUCACCCUGGCGCAGCUGCAGCAGCAGGUGCCGGAGUUCAACUGGACGGACUACCUUUCCGCUUUCCUGAAGGAGAAUCUCACGCCUCAGGAGCCAAUCGUAGUGUACUCCAUGCCUUACCUGAAGCAGCUGGCCAAGAUCAUGGUCACCACGGAGAAGAGAAUACUGUGGAACUACGUGAUGUGGAGGCUGGUGCUGGAGAUGACGCCCCACCUGAGCAGAGCCUACCAGGCCAGCAGGCACGAGUUCCGCAAAGUCCUCCUGGGAAUACAGUCGGACAGGAACCGCUGGAACCUGUGCAUCGACUGGACUAACAAGAGGCUGGGCAUGGCCGUGGGGGCGCUCUUUAUCAAGGAGAACUUUAACCCCGAGAGUAAGGAAACCGCGCUCGAGAUGAUCCAUACACUGCGGUCGGCGUUCUCGGACCUCCUGGAGGAGAACGACUGGAUGGACGACGAGACCCGCUCCGUGGCCAGGGAGAAGGCCAACGCCAUGAACGAGAAGAUCGGAUAUCCCGAGAUGCUCACCAAACCCGACGAGUUGGCCAAGGAGUACGCCAAUCUGACUAUCGUGAAAAACCAGCACCUUCAGAACGUCUUCAGCUGGCUCAAGUUCGACGCAGACAAGAACCUGGGUCGCCUUCGGGAGGACGUCAACAAGGCCAAAUGGUCCACCGCACCAGCUGUCCUCAAUGCGUUCUACAACCCCAAUUUCAAUGAUAUUGUGUUCCCGGCGGGGAUCCUGCAGCCGCUCUUCUACUCACAACACCUCCCGAAGUCCCUCAACUACGGCGGGAUCGGCGUCGUGAUCGGACACGAGAUGACGCACGGCUUCGACGACAAGGGGCGCCAGUUCGACAAGGACGGGAACCUGAAGCAGUGGUGGAACAACAGGACCAUCCAGGCCUUCCGGAGUCGCGCCCAAUGCAUCAUCGACCAGUACAGUGGCUACAAGGUGGAUCAGGUUAACCAGUUCAUCAACGGCAGGAUGACCCAGGGCGAGAACAUUGCUGACAACGGGGGGAUCAAACAAGCAUACAGGGCUUAUCGUCAGUGGGUCGAGAGGAACGGAGAGGAGAAACUGCUCCCCGGCAUCAAACUCAACCAUGACCAGUUGUUCUUCCUGAACUACGCCAGAAUUUGGUGUGGAACAAUGCGCCCUGAGGACGCCCUCUCCAAGAUCCGGUCCUCAGUGCAUUCCCUUGGACCCAUCCGCGUCCUCGGGCCGCUCUCCAACUCGGAGGACUUCGCGAGGGCCUACCACUGCCCGGUCGGGAGCAGGAUGAACCCGAAGAAGAAGUGCUCCGUGUGGUGAAGGCGCCCGCGGGGAGGACACUGCCACGCGAGUUCCGUUUUCUUUAAUGCACACACCAAAAUGGCGUACUCUUUUUCGACUCCGCGGAAAGAGCAACGUUGGGGCGGGGGCGGCCUGAGGACGAGGAUGCCUCCGGAAGGGCGUGAGGGAAGAGGAGCUUGGGAGUUGGGCGAGGCUGGCUGGCGAAUCAUUUCUUUGGCUCCACGAGGCUUGGAGAGCUAGACAGGCAGUGGUCUUUUGUUUUGCAGCUCCAACACGGCGAAACAAAGGAAUGAAUGUAAACGAAGUUACGAUGGGCGGCAACUAACAAAAAAAAAAAAAAAAAAAAAAAAAGGCUUAAAGUGCUGUAAUAUGUAUUUUAAGGUAGACUAAUGGAGCUGCGGUAUCAAGAUGCAGCAAGAAUUACUGUUUAGUCAAUAGAGAAAAUGAAACUCUUUGUAUUGAAUCUCCUUCAAGAAUAUCCUUCAACCAUAUCACUCCCAUUUCUUUUCGAUACAGGAAGACGUGUGCAAUCAUACCUUAGAUACAAGUCGGUUUGAAUACAACUGAACAUAUAAUUGGCCCGUAGAUGUUGCUUAAGGGAUUAGAUUUCAAUUAAAUUAAACGCAUAAAGAUUCUGAUUAUUAAAUAUGGAUGUUCAUAUUUGAUGAAACACCGGGACUGUGAAAGCGAAUUUGGAUGUUCAACGUCAUUUUAGUGAGUUAGAAAAUUCCAAAUACACAGUGACCCACUCUCAUCAAAUCUGAACACUCAUCUGUACAUAUAUAUAUCUCAUGGGUACUCAAAGAAACAUUUUCUAUUUUUAUGUAGUUUUUUCCUCACAGUAAAGUUAAGUGUUCGAAAUAUUCUCCUCAGCGUCAGCUUCGACAUUGAUGUUGUUCCGCCAGUUUGUUUAUCCUUCCGGGUUAUUUUUCUUCUUCAUGGUUCAUUAUUGUGACUUACUAGCGCAUAAGUGUCAGAGUGUUUGGGGACAAUAAUGCAAGGUCAGAUGUACACUGAUCACGAGAAAAUGCUGCUUGCUGAUUGGGUGGAAUGCUUAACCAAUGAGCAAGAGGUAUUUUCAAACUCAGCCGAGUUCAAACGUGUGUAACGGUUGGACAAAGAGUAACCUAUAGCUGCCAAUGUAAUACUAUACUCUUGCGUGUUAGAAGAUAAUCUCAUUAAUUAUUCAGCUAACUAAUCAUUCAUCAUAACCACGGUUCCGAUCUUCAGCUUAUGAAAUUAAACCAUUUAAACGCACUGUCUAUUUUUUAUUUGUGCUUCGAGAAGCUAUCAGAAUAUAUUUACGUAAUAAGACAUAUCAGAUUUCGUGUGAAAACAUUAUAAAUGUAGAGACAUUUAAACCCUUACAAUCCUUUGUGAUUGUGAUUUUAGCAUUCUCAUUCUCGGUGUAUUUUUCUCAUAUCAUGCCGUUUCUUCCCUUCAUAUCGUGAUGUCUCUUUACUAAUGUCUGUGGAGUCUAUUUUCUUACAAACUUAGCCCUGAUCGCGAGACUUCCUCCUUAUUUACGAAGCCUCCAAUGCCAUAGAGCGAUCUCAUCUAGGACUCCCGUACAUCCCUUUUCUCUUAGCGGUCAUUCAGGAUGUUCCGAAAUAACAACAACAGCAACAACAACAAUAUCAACCUUUGACCAGAUAACGUCGCCGUAGGAAAAACUAAGAUAGAAAAAAAUCGCAUAGCAGAUGUUCAAUAAAUAUAAAUGAUAAGUCGGUGAUUUCCUUAAUUCUAUGAUUAUUAAGACAUAUCAGGUAAGCAAUGUGUUAUGGAUGGCUAGCUCGUCAUAGCACUGUUGAAAUGCAGCACUUCAUCUGAUCAUCAGGUUAAUUUUUUUUUUUACCACAAUACAGAUGUUUCUCAGAUGCUUCUAAAGCCUAAAGCUUCUAAACUGAACGGAGACAAAGUGGAGAAAUAAUUCACUGAAAUAUAAAGUCAAUUUACCAGCUUGGAGACUAGAGAUUAUAUUUGGAAGAGACGCGAUUUGGAAGCAUCCGUGAGACGUCCACCUUCAUCCCUCAUUGUAAUCAAAACAACAUGUAGUAUAUAUAAGCCUAUGUCAAAGUUAUCAUUCCAUGUAAUAUUAUUUUAUUUUUUUCCUUUCUUUUCUUUCCCUUUUUUCCAUAUUUCAACGUCAUGAAUGGUUUACGUUUAAGAGCAACAAACUCUUAGAAUAUAGUUAAGUGUGACUAACUUCAUAAAGAGGACUAUUUUCCUUUUGUACUGAUUUGUAACAUGAAAAACGAGAUUUUUAUUGCACAGAUUACUACUGCUUUGUACAUAUAUGAUGCAUUUUUUGUCGCAGACUUUACGACAUUCAUGAAAUUAUACGUAUGAAUAAUC
rnacentral:misc_RNA from 1 species